rnacentral:lncRNA from 1 species
GAGGAUAGUUUUAUUUAUAUUUUAUCUUUCAAAAUUAUAAUUUUACUAUCCGACAUUUCAAUUUGUUUGAAUAAGUCAACGAUAAUUUAACUUCAAAAUUUAAGCUAAUUGCUUUCUUUAAUAAAUUUAUAAUUUUAUAAUUAAGAGAAUUGCAUACAGCAUAGUAACGACGGAUUUAAAUUUUGCAACUCAAAUUAUCGUUGACCGACUCAAAUCAAAUAAAUUAAAAGAUUAGAUAGUAAAAUCAAAUUUUGAAAGGUCGAGUGGCCGAUUCAAAAUGAUCGAUCGUGUAGGUAAGUUAUGUAAAUUUUUACAUUCUUUUUUAACUAAAAAGUUACUUAGCAUGGCAUAUAAAUGAAUCUAAUUAAUUGACUGCAGAUUGUCCCAAGUCCUUAAUGCAGCUUUGUAGCAAGCGCACAACUCCUGUCAAGAAGUAACUGUUGGAAAAUUUUUCGGAUCUUUUAGUAAAAUAUUUUUUAAAAACAAUUCGAAAGUUUAAUUUUAGUUUUAAGAAAAUUUUGAAAAAAAAAUUAAAUAGUAAAUAUUGUAGAGAAAAAGAUUAUAAAAGGUCUGUGGAUUGAGACAUGCAGAGCACUGUGCUAGAAUCAAAAUUGCACCUCCACGUGCGAGGCUUCCCGGCAAUUACUUCCAGCGAUACAGCGUCCACGUUACACCCUAUCGGCAUGCUUUCAAGGUGACGUAAGAUGAAUCCAAUAAGCUUUAAAUCCAGCAAAAUAUUAGAAAGCUCAGUGGAAUCAAUUGGUCAAUUCCGUGCAGCGCAAGAUAAGCCUAAGAUUCUGUAACAUACAGGAUAUGGACUAGGACUCCGAAAAGAUAAAAACAAAGAUAAAACCAAAAAAUAAAAAUAAAGAUCAAAUAAAAUAAAAUAAACCCGGUGCCUGGACCACGAGCGCCGCCGCCCAGCCCGGCCCGGCUCGUGCUCGUGCCAUGCGUGUGUUUAGUCAAGAGCAUAACACACAUUUUAUCCCAAGCAACUAGCUUGAGAAUGAAGGAGUAUAUAAAUAACAACAACAUACUUUUAGUUUCCAAUGUAGAACUAAUCCUUACAUAUGGAAACCAUAGUAUGGGCUCCCUAGCAUAACCUAUCAAGUAUUGGGCUGCCCAAAAGAUUUAAUAAGUUUUAAAUCACCAAAAAAUUCAAUAAAUUCUAAUAUUCCCUCACAUGAUCUAAAACUUUAAAUAAACAAACUGAAAUUCAAAACAACUCAAAAAAAUGUUGGAUCUCUUAUAUCACGUAUUCAGUAAGGGUACCUUUCGAAUUUGAACCUUCACUUAAUACUUGUCAAUGUACAUCCGAUGGCACAAUAGUGGACUAUGCCUUGAACCAAGACCAGUGAAUCGAAUUUUCACAAACUGCACACAUGGCACAACCGUUUAGACUCUAAGCGAGUGAGCGUUUUUAUGGCCAUGUGCUAGUAUCGCUUUAUGUGUGUUUUAGGGAGCCGCUUUUUUCCCAUUAGUUACGGCCUCACGACUCCACACAUAUAGUAGGUUCUCAAAGGAUAUUUGCAAGGUCACACCCUACCUUAUAGGUCUCGGAACCAUUCAGGGCCAACGCCUUUCCUAUCCACUUGCAGAUAUGAGCACAAAAUUUAUUGGUGUAGAAGCAUUCAAAUCGGAUGUAGAAGCAUUCAAAAUUUAUUGGUGUAGAAGCAUUCAAAAGGGUUCAAAAUUAAUAAUUUUUAAUGGUUGAUAUAUACCGUUUGUAAGUUUAAUGGUGUAGAAGCAUUCAAAUCGGAUGAAAUUUUGAUAGAAAAUUUUUUAUACUAUUUACAACAAAAUCAAUACCUCUGAUCGAAAAUUUUAAUGCUAUAUCACCACUUUUUGUGAGAUUUUUAUUUUCAGCCGUUGAUUUUGAAUCCUUUCGAUCGCUAGGUAAAUGAUAUCCAAAAAUCACAAAAUUUAUUUUCUAGAUAGUUCAAAUGCGCUAGAUCAAGUCUAACGGAGCCGAUCGUCGAUUCGCAAGCUCCAUCAUCGAAAACGGCU